rnacentral:rRNA from 1 species
UACAGAGGUCCCGAGCGUUGUUCGGAUUCAUUGGGCGUAAAGGGUGCGUAGGCGGCGGGGCAAGUCUGAUGUGAAAUCCCGGGGCUCAACCCCGGAACUGCAUUGGAUACUGCCUUGCUUGAGUACUGGAGAGGGAACUGGAAUUUACGGUGUAGCAGUGAAAUGCGUAGAGAUCGUAAGGAAGGCCAGUGGCGAAGGCGAGUUCCUGGACAGUUACUGACGCUGAGGCACGAAGGCCAGGGGAGCAAACAGG